rnacentral:rRNA from 1 species
GAUUCUGGCUCAGAACGAACGUUGGCGGCGUGGAUUAGGCAUGCAAGUCGAACGAAUCUCAGCCUUGUAGCAAUACCGGGCUGGGGGAAGUGGCGAAAGGGGCAGUAAGGCGUGGGUAACCUACCCUGGGGACCGGGAUAGCCUUCCUAACGGAAGGGUAAUACCGGGCGAUUUGGCGAGGUGGCAUCAUCUUGCCAGGAAAUGAAUUUCGCCUCGGGAGGGGCUCACGUGAUAUUAGCUAGUUGGCGGGGUAACGGCCCACCAAGGCUGAGAUGUCUAGCGGGUGUGAGAGCACGACCCGCGCCACUGGCACUGAGACACUGGCCAGACACCUACGGGUGGCUGCAGUCGAGGAUCUUCGGCAAUGGGCGCAAGCCUGACCGAGCGACGCCCGCGUGUGCGAUGAAGGCCUUCGGGUUGUAAAGCACUGUCGAGGGGGAGGAAGGCGCAAGCUUGACCUAUCCCUGGAGGAAGCACGGGCUAAGUUCGUGCCAGCAGCCGC